UGUGUCCUGCUUAAUGUCCCUAGG
rnacentral:siRNA from 1 species